rnacentral:rRNA from 1 species
CAAGUAGGCGGUUUAAUAAGUCAUAUGUGAAAGCCCCGGGCUCAACCUGGGAACUGCAUCUGAUACUGUUAAACUUGAGGACGGAAGAGGAGAGUGGAAUAUCCGGUGUAAGGGUGAAAUCUGUAGAUAUCGGAUAGAACACCAGUGGCGAAGGCGACUCUCUGGUCCGUAUCUGACGCUGAGAGGCGAAAGCUAGGGGAGCAAACAGGAUUAGAUACCCUGGUAGUCC